UUACAUUUGAAACAAAUAUGAGAGCAUCCCUAACAGCACAGCUGAGACCUUUGUUUUAAUCAAGCCUUUGUAUCGACACACUUGUAAAGAUUCAUAUACAAAACAUAAUAGAAUAAAUCAAUAUAAAAUACACAUAAUCACAAAAAUGCAGCCAUGUUGUGAGUUUGCAUCUAAAACAUGCAUGUUUCCCUUUGUACAGGCAGAUUUACAGCAGACAAAGCAACACGCUGAUCGACUUUGACCGCUGCAAAAACAAAAUACCCACCAAGUCUGAAGUCGAUCAGAGGAACUGUUGACAGACUGACAGACAAACAGAUGCUUGAUUCAUUAGUGCGAUUAAAUGUUCUUCUUUAGCAGCAUCACUUCAUGUGUUUGUGUUCCAGGAAUAAAGGUCUGUUUAAACUGGACGUCUCCUCAGCAUCACUCGUGCUGUCAUGGUUUCAAAGCUGUGCAGAAAGAAUCUGAGGGAUGAUACAGAGGUGACCAAAGUUACAAACAUCCAGCUGUGCUGCAAAUGUUUGCAGAGCUCCAAACUCUUUGGCUUUCUGCAGAGCAAGUAUGGAAGAAGCACCUGAGCUAACUUCAGUUUAGACGAUAUGAGGAAAAAUGCUGCUUCCCAAAGUUUCCUACAAGUAUCCAGUUUAUAUUUAGAGAAGCGAAGGCUCUUUAUCCUGACAACUACUCCCUGGUGGAUCCCUGUCCUGUGACAGCAGCAAAGACUGUGUAUCAGUAUCAUCAAAGCCACUUCAAUAACCAGUGUUUAAAGCUCUCUAGCAGAUGGACUUCAGUGGCAGCAGCCUCUGUCUGCUGUGUACAGAAGGUUCUCUGAUGAAGCACACAGCAGAUGCUGCACUACAACAGCAGCAGCAGCUCAGCUUCAGUUUGCUUCGACGCCCUUUUUGACCUGUGAAACAGCAGAAAAUGAAACAUUUCAACACCCGUUUGUUAGCGUGAGCUAUUCUGCUGUUUUUCAUCAUUUCACAGGUGAAAUAAAAUCACAUUUACUUCCUGUAGGAGUGAUCGUGUCCAGCCUGACUGAGACCAUGUGCUCCAUCCUGCACAGAAAAUGUCACAUGUUCAAAGCCAUCCCAGCACCUGGGGUUUGUAUAAGUGCAGCUGCUGGUGGGGAGAUAGUCUCACUCUUCUAUAUAAAGAGUCAGCAGGCAGCAGAUCUUCAUCUGUGAUCUCCUCCAUCAUCACGUCUUCACUCUUCAGCAGCUAUGGCUUCACUUCGUGCCCUUCUGGGAGUGGUGCUGUGCUCCUCAUGGUUUCUGCUUCUGCCUCAGGCCGACUUUGAUUUACAGAGUCAUCCAUAAUAUUUUUUAUUUUUUAUUUUACUGCCCAUCUAUUUUCAUACAAAUGUCUCCGUCUUAUGGAAAAGGGGUGGAGCUUAUCCAACGAGGACAGGCAGGGCCCCCCCAGACAGUUUAGCAGUCUAUACAGGAGGCUGACCUUUGCAACAUGUACUUCUAUAAUGACUUCACCAUUUAGGUUAUUUGGUUAUGUUUCACCCUGGAUUUUGUGUGAUAAUAUUUAUUUUGUCCACUGAUUUAAAAACAACAA